AAUUCGAUUGAGUUUGAUCAUGGCUCAGGAUGAACGCUAGCGGCAGGCUUAAUACAUGCAAGUCGAGGGGCAGCGGGGGUAGCAAUACCUGCCGGCGACCGGCAAACGGGUGCGGAACACGUACGCAACCUUCCUUUAACUGGAGAAUAGCCCCUCGAAAGAGGGAUUAAUACUCCGUAACAUAUUGAUAAGGCAUCUUAUUAAUAUUAUAGUCUUCGGGCGGUUAAAGAUGGGCGUGCGCCUGAUUAGAUAGUUGGUGAGGUAACGGCUCACCAAGUCUGCGAUCAGUAACUGGUGUGAGAGCACGACCAGUCACACGGGCACUGAGACACGGGCCCGACUCCUACGGGAGGCAGCAGUAAGGAAUAUUGGUCAAUGGACGCAAGUCUGAACCAGCCAUGCCGCGUGGAGGAUUAAGGCCCUCUGGGUUGUAAACUCCUUUUAUCUGGGAAGAAAUGCCAUUUUUCUAAAUGGUUUGACGGUACCAGAGGAAUAAGCACCGGCUAACUCCGUGCCAGCAGCCGCGGUAAUACGGAGGGUGCAAGCGUUAUCCGGAUUCACUGGGUUUAAAGGGUGCGUAGGCGGGCAGGUAAGUCCGUGGUGAAAUCUCUGAGCUUAACUCAGAAACUGCCAUGGAUACUAUUUGUCUUGAAUACUGUGGAGGUAAGCGGAAUAUGUCAUGUAGCGGUGAAAUGCUUAGAUAUGACAUGGAACACCAAUUGCGAAGGCAGCUUACUACACAGUUAUUGACGCUGAGGCACGAAAGCGUGGGGAUCAAACAGGAUUA
rnacentral:rRNA from 1 species